UUCUUUACUCCCUCUCCUCACCUUCUUUCUUCUUUCUUCUCCGCCCACCGCCUUCCCCUCCGCCGCGACCCCCAUCCGCCGAUCUUCAGGGACCUUGUAGAAGAUCCCAUUCUCCAUGCCGGAGAUCUUGCCUCAUCCUUUAUCGAAAGAUCGGUUGAAGAUCAGAUCUUGAACUCGAGAUCCUUGUGGUUGAAAAUGCUCCGAGAAGACCGUUAAUUUCUGCGCACAGCAUUGAAGCAGCACAUGCAAGAUGCAGAAAUUGGGAGGGUUCAAACUACCACCUUUCUUCAAUUACCCACCUUAUUUCACAUCUUCAUGGAAUAGAUCGAACUAUUUUGAAUCGUGCACUGAAACUAUUAGAACAGAAGGGAAAACUUGUGGUCUUUAAAGGAACUUCAACUGAUGAUGAAGGAGUUAAAUUUUCUAUAUAAUUGUUUUGUGAAUUAAUCUAUUGAAUCUUUGGGGAUUUUACAUGUCAUCAACAGGGGAAUCUUUUGCUAUCUAUUUAAUGAGUUUGUUGAUGUGCAAGAUGUGUAAGAACAAGCUGUAGUAAAUUGCUAUCAAUUUUCAUUUCGGGAGCUUUGCUGUGUUAA